rnacentral:rRNA from 1 species
UACGAAGGGGGCUAGCGUUGUUCGGAAUUACUGGGCGUAAAGCGCACGUAGGCGGAUUGUUAAGUCAGGGGUGAAAUCCCGGGGCUCAACCUCGGAACUGCCUUUGAUACUGGCAAUCUCGAGUCCGGAAGAGGUGGGUGGAAUUCCUAGUGUAGAGGUGAAAUUCGUAGAUAUUAGGAAGAACACCAGUGGCGAAGGCGGCCCACUGGUCCGGUACUGACGCUGAGGUGCGAAAGCGUGGGGAGCAAACAGG